UCCUAAUUAUGUCUACGUCCACAAGUGAACAUGAUUUUGUCAACUGGCAAAAUUUGCCGAAUGAAGCUUUAAUCAAAAUAUAUAGCUAUUUGGAUGAUUCUAUGCGAUGUCAAAUGUCACUUACGUGCAAGCAAUGGAACCAAGCAUUCAAUACUCCUGUAUUAUGGAGGAGGCGAUAUUUUUUAUUCACUGGUUUUCGGGCAAUGGAAAGCUCUGUAACAGCGUGCAAAUACCUCAGAUCACUGGGCAAACACCUAAGGCAUGUUGAAAUUGAGUGUGGACAUCCUGUUUUACACACGGCUCGUCCAAUUGCACAGGCAUUGGACCGAUUCGUCACUCAGAUCAACAGGUUAAGGUGUAUUCGUAUCCUGUCUUUUAAAAUGGAACAUUUGGGCAUCAGCCGUGCUUGGCAGUUCUUUCAGUCAUCAAAAUCACGGCUCGUGUCGGCGCUCUGCAAGUUCCUCAAGUCCCAGAGGCAUUUACGAAGACUGGAACUGUCAGGGGCGCAUAUGAUUUCAGAAGACGGAUCUGCUCUCAUUAACGCUUUGGGCAUAUCACAAGCACGGAAGACUUUAGAAGUUCUUCACAUCGAAAACUUCUAUGAGCAGAGGCAUACCGCUUUCUCAGAUGAAGCAUAUCUUAACACCAUGAGGAAACUAACAGCAUUAAGAAUUGUAUUCUUGAACUAUAUUUAUAUCAAUGACACGGUCUUGAAUAUUUUAGCAAAGAGAGCAGGAAGCUCUUUGGAGUUUCUUAGAAUUGUCGCGGAUUCCAGAGAACCGUACGAACAUAAUAUUUCCGCUAAUGCUUGGUUGGACUUUAAAAAACAAUGUCCGAAAGUGAAGCUUGUUUUUCAUUUCUUGGGGAAACUGAAGUACUCUGAUUAUACAAGGACUUUACUCAAAGGAAUGCCUUUGGUCGACUUGAAUAUUAUCAGCUGGGAAUCACUACCAAACAACAGAGACCCCGAUAGAGAAAGAAUGCCAGAUGUCCUCAAAUACAUUGGCGAUCACUUCCCAAAUUCUUUAGCUCAUUUUCGACUGUCGGUUGACCACGCCGUUCAACCUGCCCUGGACACGUCUUUGAUCCACCUUAUUGGAAGAUGCUGUAACCUCACUGAGGUGUCCAUUAACUGCAAAUUGGAAUUGUCCACCGUGGAAUCUAUAUGCAAAAUGGCAGGAGACCAGUCGCGGAGAGGUUUAGCUUGUCUGGAGUUACGGGUUCGAGGCUUGACGGGCGACGACAUGGCGCGACUAGCACUAGUGACUCAAGACACGCUGUGCAGUCUGGGAUUCCGACGAGUGGAGCUUCUGUCCGAGGAUGACGCUUUGGACGACUGAGCAGGGAACGCCAGACGAACGCGACACCCCGAGCUGACUGUUUUAAAAACAAUUCGUCCUUUCAAAUGUUUUCUUUUAAGUGUAGAAUCCUUGAACUGAAUACUCUCCAACACUUGGGCCAAAUCACGAUGAACAGCCAAUAUACCGGUAUGGUUGCUUCAAUACUACCUUUAUGAACACUUCGUAUGUCUUAAUAUACAUAUUUUUAUUUCGCAUGAUUUAUACUAUGCGGACUUUUAUUUUGAAAGUACACAUGUAUUUCUGUAUUUUAAAAAUGUAUUAAAAGUGAUAUAUGUA
rnacentral:misc_RNA from 1 species